GUCCCCGUAGCUCAACUGGACAGAGCGUCGGCCUCCGAAGCCGAAGGUUGCAGGUUCGAAUCCUGCCGGGGACG
rnacentral:tRNA from 2 species